rnacentral:rRNA from 1 species
GAGAGUGGGUAGUCCGCACGAGCGCACCUCGACCUUUAAUUGCCAUCAUUAAGUUGGGCACUCUAUAGGGACUGCCGGUGAUAAGCCGGAGGAAGGUGGGGAUGACGUCAAGUCCUCAUGGCCCUUAUGGGCUGGGCUACACACGUGCUACAAUGGCGCUGACAGAGGGCAGCUAGCUCGCGAGAGUAAGCUAAUCCCAAAAAGGCGCCUCAGUUCAGAUUGCACUCUGCAACUCGAGUGCAUGAAGUUGGAAUCGCUAUUAAUCGUGGAUCAGCAUGCCACGGUGAAUACGUUCCCGGGCCUUGUACACACCGCCCGUCACACCAUGGGAAUUGGCUUUACCCGAAGGUAGUGUGCUAACCGCAAGGAGGCAGCUAACCACGGUAAGGUCAGUAACUGGGGUGAAGUCGUAACAAGGUAGCCGUACGGGAACCUGCGGCUGGAUCACCUCCUUCCU